rnacentral:rRNA from 1 species
CAGUCGCCGCGGUAAUACGUAGGUCCCGAGCGUUGUCCGGAUUUAUUGGGCGUAAAGGGAGCGCAGGCGGUUUAGUAAGUCUGAAGUUAAAGGCAUUGGCUCAACCAAUGUAUGCUUUGGAAACUGUUAGACUUGAGUGCAGAAGGGGAGAGUGGAAUUCCAUGUGUAGCGGUGAAAUGCGUAGAUAUAUGGAGGAACACCGGUGGCGAAAGCGGCUCUCUGGUCUGUCACUGACGCUGAGGCUCGAAAGCGUGAGUAGCGAGCAGGAUUAGAUACCCCGGUAGUCCCUGUCUCUUAUACA